rnacentral:tRNA from 1 species
GGGUUAUAGUAUAAUAUAACAUUUGAUUGGCAUCCAAAAAGUAUGGAAUAUCCAAGCUUCCUUA